rnacentral:rRNA from 1 species
GGAGUCUAGCAUGUGCGCGAGUCAUUGGGACCGCACUAAACCUAAAGGCGAAAUGAAAGUGAAGGAUCGCUCGCGCGAUCCGAGGGAGGAUGGGUCGCGUCUAGGCGCGGCCCCGCACUCCCGGGGCGUCUCGUUCUCAUCGCGAGAUGAGGCGCACCCAGAGCGUACACGCUAGGACCCGAAAGAUGGUGAACUAUGCCUGGUCAGGACGAAGUCAGGGGAAACUCUGAUGGAGGUCCGUAGAGCUUCUGACGUGCAAAUCGAUCUUCGGAACUGGGUAUAGGGGCGAAAGACUAAUCGAACUAUCUAGUAGCUGGUUCCCUCCGAAGUUUCCCUCAGGAUAGCUGGCGCUCGCUUUCGCGAGUCUCAUCCGGUAAAGCGAAUGAUUAGAGGCAUUGGGGUCGAAACGGCCUCAACCUAUUCUCAAACUUUAAAUGGGUGAGAUCUCCGGCUUGCUUGAAAUUCAUGUGAAGCCGCGAGAUCGGAUCAGAGUGCCAAGUGGGCCACUUUUGGUAAGCAGAACUGGCGCUGUGGGAUGAACCAAACGCAGAGUUAAAGCGCCCAAAUCGACGCUUAUGGGAUACCAUGAAAGGCGUUGGUAACUUAAAACAGCAGGUCGGUGGCCAUGGAA